UUCCCUGGUAGCUCAGCUGAUAAAGAAUCUGCUUGCAAUUCAGGAGACCCUGGUUUGCUUCCUCGGUCAGGAAAAUCCAAUGGAGAAGGGACAGAUUACCCACUCCAUAGGCUACCCACUCCA